rnacentral:rRNA from 1 species
GACGAACGCUGGCGGCGUGCUUAACACAUGCAAGUCGAACGGAAAGGCCCCCACUAUUUUUGGUGGGGGUGCUCGAGUGGCGAACGGGUGAGUAACACGUGGGUGACCUGCCCUGUACUUCGGGAUAAGCUUGGGAAACUGGGUCUAAUACCGGAUAGGACCAUGGUUUAGUGUCUCAUGGUGGAAAGAUGUUUUUUUGGUGCAGGAUGAGCUCGCGGCCUAUCAGCUUGUUGGUGGGGUAAUGGCCUACCAAGGCGUCGACGGGUAGCCGGCCUGAGAGGGUGGACGGCCACAUUGGGACUGAGAUACGGCCCAGACUCCUACGGGAGGCAGCAGUGGGGAAUAUUGCACAAUGGGCGCAAGCCUGAUGCAGCGACGCCGCGUGGGGGAUGACGGCCUUCGGGUUGUAAACUCCUUUCGUUAGGGACGAAGCCAUACUUU